CAGAUGGAUCAUUCAAAAAGAGACCAACAUAGGACCGUUGCAGCAACGUUAAAAAAAAUCUGAAUAUUUUUUUAAAAAGUAAUCUUUACCACCAUCACCACCUAGUUACCGUUAGCACAGCUCAAUUACCCAACAGCCGCUCCCUCAAAAUCUAAAAUUCCAACCCCAGAGUUGAACACAAGGAGAAAAAAGAAGUACAGAGUUUUUAUCCAAUUUUCAUUCUUUAUGGCAACUUUGGCACCUGGAAUUCUGUUGAAGCUACUAAAUGGGAUGGAUACAGGGACUAAACCCACCAGCGAGCACCGGAGUUCAGUUUUGCAGGUAACUGACAUAGUACCAGCUGAUCUCGACGAGAAAAAUCUGUGGCCUAAACAAGGAUUCUUCAUUAAAGUAUCAGAUUCUUCACACUCCAUCUAUGUCAGUCUUCCCUCUGAUCAAGAUGAUUAUGUUCUCAGCGACAAAAUGCAGCUAGGUCAGUUCAUUUACGUUGACAGACUGGAGCCAGGAUCUCCUGUUCCUGUUGUCAAAGGGGCAAAACCACUUCCAGGGAGACACCCAUUAUUAGGAACCCCUGAACCCCUUAUGGGUCUUAGAGGAAAGGGAGAGAGAAGUGAACAAAAACCACCCUAUGGUCAAAGGAGAGGUUCUUGGGGAACAGGGCAAAAUGGGGUUUCAUCUCCAAUGGUUUUAAAGCCAGUUCCUUUGGAUUUUAAUCAGUGCACACCGGUGAAACAGCGGUUGGCUGUAAGUUGUGUGAAAUCAGUCUCCCCGGUGGUGAGAGGGAGAAUUGCCAAAGAUGGAGGCACUAAUGGGGUGGUUAGGUGUUCUUUUGCUGGUGGUGGAUUGCUGGCUAAGAUGGUGGACAACAAGGGAGAGAGCCCUGCAAUGCUUAGGAAAAGUUGUGCUGCACCCUUCUGCUAAUUUCAAGUUUCCAAGAAGCAAGAGUGUCUGUGAACGAGAAGCUAGAAUUCCAAUUAGCCCCUGCAAAUCAUCUGAUAAUAAAAGCUCAACUCCCCCACCGAGUUUAAGAAAUGCAAGGGCGGUAGCUUCUCUCGGAAUGGGCGGAGAAGCACAAAACUCUUGCAAUUUAAAGGCCAUCUCAGAAAUACAGUGUCAGUAUGGGAAUGCAGCCUCUGAUACCAGUACCGAGCUGGCCAUGAAUUUACCAGGAAAGUUGAACCUAUUAGGCAAGGAAGCUGUGCAGCAACGAGAAACGGCUCAGAAGAUAGCCCUCCAGGCGCUAAGAGAUGCCUCAGCCACUGAAACUUUAGUUCGGCCUCUCAAGAUGAUCUUGAAUCUGAGCAGAACAGCGAGACCAGAUGCUCCAGCAGCCUGUUUUGACCAGUUUCUGGAGUUCCAUCACCAGAUUGUGAGAGCAGUUACUGAUAUAGUGUCCAUUCAAGCAGCUACUUCAGCUGCUGAAGUUGGUCAGAGCACAAAUAUCGAACAGCGUGGAGAAAAUUCCUCAAUCUUACAUGAAAUUGUACACAAUUCUAUGGACCAAUGUGGGAAUCCUGCAUUAAACUCAUCAAAAAGAAGAACAGCAUUGUACAAAUCAAUUGGUAGCUUCAAUGAAAGAAGUGAUCAGACGAUGAAUUUUGAGAAACUCCAGAGAUCAAAUGCUAAUCAAAAGGCCUUUCCAGAAAGAAAAGGGCCAUCAACUCCACAGGGAAAACUGCCACCUAAAGCUAUGAUUGAGAAUGAUGAAAACAAGAGACCAACCUCCUCUUGCAGCUUAAGCAAUACAAUUAGGUUGGGUAAGCAGAUUGAAAAUGAAGCUGGAAAUUGGUUCAUGGACUUCCUAGAGAAAGCUUUGGAAACUGGAAUGAAGAAAUCUAAAGGAACAACAGCAGAUGGGGAUGCUAAGAAAGUUCCUCAAUCUCUAAUAUUGAAGGUUAUAAACUGGGUGGAGGUAGAACAGUCUGACUGCCAUAAGCGGCCAGUUCAUCCAAAAGCAGCACAGAUUGCUCGGAAGUUGAGGAUCAAGGUGAAGAAUCCUUAGAUGGGCUACUGUCGAACCUAGAUCUUUUGAUCAUAAAGAAUUCAAAAACCUCUCUGGUUGGCUUUUGCUCCCCGCUUCCCUAUCGGAAAUAGCAUUCCAACUCGUUUUCGUUUUGUAUGUUGUGUGUGUGUGUAUAAAAUAUAUACUGUGUCUGUGCGUGUUCAGAUUUUUGGGACAUUUUGUUUGGAAAUGAUAGUGCAUUGAUUGAACUUC